AGAGUUUGAUCCUGGCUCAGGAACAACGCUGGCGGCGUGCCUAAUGCAUGCAAGUCGAACGGGAGCCUCUUCGGAGGUCGACCGUGGCGGACGGGUGAGGAACACGUGGGGAACCCAUCCACGCGCGGGGGAUAACGGCGGGAAACCGCUGGUAAUACCGCAUACACUUCAGUGUCAGUAAGGGACUGAAGCAAAGGUCGCAAGACCGUGCGUGGCGGGGCCUGCGCCCUAUCAGCUAGUUGGGGGGGUAGUGGCCCACCAAGGCGAUGACGGGUAGCUGGUCUGAGAGGACGAUCAGCCACACGGGGACUGAGACACGGCCCAGACUCCUACGGGAGGCAGCAGUGGGGAAUAUUGGACAAUGGGCGAAAGCCUGAUCCAGCAAUGCCGCGUGGGUGAAGAAGGUCUUCGGAUUGUAAAGCCCUUUCGACGGGGACGAUGAUGACGGUACCCGUAGAAGAAGCCCCGGCUAACUUCGUGCCAGCAGCCGCGGUAAUAC
rnacentral:rRNA from 1 species